rnacentral:rRNA from 1 species
AUUGAACGCUAGCGGGAUGCUUAACACAUGCAAGUCGAACGAGUGGCGGACGGGUGAGUCAUAUAUCUGAACGUCCCUGGUCGCGGGGGAAAACUACUCGAAAUAAUGGCUAAUCCCGCAUACUAUUGGAGCGGCCGAUCUCGGAUUAGCUAUGUGGUGGGGUAAAGGCUCACCAAGGCCACGAUCCGUAGCUGGUUUGAGAGGACGACCAGCCACACUGGGACUGAGAGACGGCCCAGACUCCUACGGGAGGCAGCAGUGGGGAAUUUUGGACAAUGGGCGAAACCCUGAUCCAGCCAUGCCGCGUGUAUGAGAAGGCCUUCGGGUUGUAAAGUACUUUUGGCAGAGAGGCGGUAUCUGCAGAAUAAGCACCGGCUAACUACGUGCCAGCAGCCGCGGUAAUUC